rnacentral:sRNA from 1 species
GCUUCCAAGAUGGCGGCAGCGAUGCCUCCCCGGCUGUUGGGGUGGCGGUGACGACAGGCAGCAAAAGACCAGCUGGUCCCAGAUUCGCUGCUGGAGUGCUGGAUGGAGCCUUUCUCUGCCCUCUGUGACAUUUCCAAUUUUAGAUAAUGCCUCACAUCUCUGUACCCCCGGGACCCCCUGGAGCCCCCAUGAUCCCUAAGAAGACAGCUUGAACCUAGAUCUCACCCCCAGGAUGUUGCGGAGGCUGCUGGAGCGGCCUUGCACGCUGGCCCUGCUUGUGGGCUCCCAGCUGGCUGUCAUGAUGUACCUGUCACUGGGGGGCUUCCGAAGUCUCAGUGCCCUAUUUGGCCGAGAUCAGGGGCCGACAUUUGACUAUUCUCACCCUCGUGAUGUCUACAGUAACCUCAGUCACCUGCCUGGGGCCCCAGGGGGUCCUCCAGCUCCUCAAGGUCUGCCCUACUGUCCAGAACGAUCUCCUCUCUUAGUGGGUCCUGUGUCGGUGUCCUUUAGCCCAGUGCCAUCACUGGCAGAGAUUGUGGAGCGGAAUCCCCGGGUAGAACCAGGGGGCCGGUACCGCCCUGCAGGUUGUGAGCCCCGCUCCCGAACAGCCAUCAUUGUGCCUCAUCGUGCCCGGGAGCACCACCUGCGCCUGCUGCUCUACCACCUGCACCCCUUCUUGCAGCGCCAGCAGCUUGCUUAUGGCAUCUAUGUCAUCCACCAGGUACCCCCAAUCUCCACCUCAUUUUGACUGACUUUCUUCUAAGAAAGCCUCAAGCACAUGCCACUUCACUUUCAUCUAAUGGGUC